rnacentral:rRNA from 1 species
CCUACGUGUGGCAGCAGUGAGGAAUAUUGGUCAAUGGACGAGAGUCUGAACCAGCCAAGUAGCGUGAAGGAUGACUGCCCUAUGGGUUGUAAACUUCUUUUAUAAAGGAAUAAAACGAGGCACGUGUGCCUUUUUGCAUGUACUUUAUGAAUAAGGAUCGGCUAACUCCGUGCCAGCAGCCGCGGUAAUACGGAGGAUCCGAGCGUUAUCCGGAUUUAUUGGGUUUAAAGGGAGCGUAGAUGGGUUGUUAAGUCAGUUGUUAAAGCUUGCGGCUCAACCGUAAAAUUGCAAUUGAUACUGGCAGUCUUGAGUACAGUUGAGGUAGGCGGAAUGCGUGGUGUAGCGGUGAAAUGCUUAGAUAUCACGAAGAACCCCGAUUGCGAAGGCAGCUUACCAAACUGUGACUGACAUUGAUGCUCGAAAGUGUGGGUAGCAAACAGGAUUAGAUACCCUAGUAGUC